CAAUCCUAUGCAUGUUUAGACGGAAAAAAAUCCUACAACUCCUAGCAUUCCUUAGCCAGUAUGGCUUGCUGUGGGAUGCUGGGAGUUGUAGGACUUCCUCUGUCUAAACAUUCAUAGGAUUAUGCCCCAAUGUGAUAAAGUACUUCUAGCAAUGUUUGUCAAAGCUGAUGGAAGAUGGAGUUUUAUUACGUACUCAAUGAUUACCAUGAAACAAUGCAUUUCAUUUGGAAAUAUCUAUUACCAUGGGGUUGCCAUGUAAAAUGAGAGUUAAUAGUUGUGAUUUUUUUUUCUCAUGUUGUAGGUUAAAGGUGUUUUUUUUUCUAAUAUGCAAAAAAAAAAAGAAGCCUUACAGCUUUCGAUUGCUGGCAACUACUGUUUAAUGGAUAAUUAAAUCUGUGAUAAUGGAUGGAAAUGGGUGGGAUUAUGUUAUCUGUAGAUGUUCUAGGGGAAAAUUGUGAAUGAAAUAUGAUUUAAGAGUGUCAUGUGAAGAUGUUUGAGCCAUUUCUAUCUAUCAUGCAUUCCUGUCUCAUGGCAGAAAAAAAUUGAAGAUUUAAAAAUAAUAAUAAAACAAAAUCAAAGGAA